UUUUGAAAAACAGAAUAAAUAAGCAUCUCUCAGGAAUAAGAUAUGUGUUGUGUUCUUAAUGUCCAGUCAGAGCAGAAGGCAGGAGGAGUCAAGAUGAUCAGGUGACAUGACAGGAAAUAAACUGGCUUGAGUUUGCAGUUCUCCUUGGUGCCACAUACCUGCCAGAUCUGUCACCAUUUUCUCUUCUGCAAGAUAAGCUCACAGUUUAGAAGACCUCUAGCUGGUGCCACUAUACUUCAAAAUCUUAUCUCUGGAGCAGGUACAAAAUCCAGCCAUGCUAGUCAGCUGCUUGGGAUGUCCCUUCUCCCAUCACCCGCAAAUCAGCACAGCUCAGCAUGGCUAGCAACUCUAUUUUUUGAACAGGCAGAAGUCCUGACCAAAGUCAAUCUGUACAAAGAUGGUGCUACUCCUUUUUACUGAAGCCGCUCCAGUAAGAUCAGUGAUG